AUUGAACGCUGGCGGCAGGCCUAACACAUGCAAGUCGAGCGGAUGAAGGGAGCUUGCUCCUGGAUUCAGCGGCGGACGGGUGAGUAAUGCCUAGGAAUCUGCCUGGUAGUGGGGGAUAACGUCCGGAAACGGGCGCUAAUACCGCAUACGUCCUGAGGGAGAAAGAGGGGGAUCUUCGGACCUCACGCUAUCAGAUGAGCCUAGGUCGGAUUAGCUAGUUGGUGGGGUAAAGGCCUACCAAGGCGACGAUCCGUAACUGGUCUGAGAGGAUGAUCAGUCACACUGGAACUGAGACACGGUCCAGACUCCUACGGGAGGCAGCAGUGGGGAAUAUUGGACAAUGGGCGAAAGCCUGAUCCAGCCAUGCCGCGUGUGUGAAGAAGGUCUUCGGAUUGUAAAGCACUUUAAGUUGGGAGGAAGGGCAGUAAGUUAAUACCUUGCUGUUUUGACGGUACCAACAGAAUAAGCACCGGCUAACUUCGUG
rnacentral:rRNA from 1 species